rnacentral:misc_RNA from 1 species
CCCAACUAUCCCUAUUAAUCAUUACGUCGAUCCUAGAAACCAACAAAAUAGAAUCAAACGUCCUAUUUCAUUAUUCCAUGCUAAUGUAUUCAAGCGCGAGCUUGCUUUAAACACUCUAAUUUUUUCAAAGUAACAGUCCUGAUUUCCCGCGACACCAAAUUAAUGACAUCGUGGUUCGUCAGAAGGGAGAAACCAAUAAUGCUAGUACGUACAAAGUACGACCGACAUAUUAGUCCCGAAAUUCAACUACGAGCUUUUUAACUGCAACAACUUUAAUAUACGCUAUUGGAGCUGGAAUUACCGCGGCUGCUGGCACCAGACUUGCCCUCCAA